AUUGAACGCUGGCGGCAUGCUUUACACAUGCAAGUCGAGCGGCAGCGCGGGGGCAACCCUGGCGGCGAGCGGCGAACGGGUGAGUAAUGCAUCGGAACGUAUCCUCGAGUGGGGGAUAACCCAGCGAAAGUUGGGCUAAUACCGCAUGAGCUCUGAGGAGGAAAGCGGGGGACCUGCGAGGGCCUCGCGCUGGAGGAGCGGCCGAUGUCCGAUUAGCUAGUUGGUGGGGUAAAGGCUUACCAAGGCGACGAUCGGUAGCUGGUCUGAGAGGAUGAUCAGCCACAAUGGGACUGAGACACGGCCCAGACUCCUACGGGAGGCAGCAGUGGGGAAUUUUGGACAAUGGGGGCAACCCUGAUCCAGCCAUGCCGCGUGAGUGAAGAAGGCCUUCGGGUUGUAAAGCUCUUUCGGACGGAACGAAAUGGGCGGGACUAAUACUCCUGUCUGAUGACGGUACCGUAAGAAGAAGCACCGGCUAACUACGUG
rnacentral:rRNA from 1 species